AUGAACAAUUCAACCAUCCUUUAGAAGGUGGUCUUUUUGAACCUUAUCAAAAGUUUCCAAUAUUAAAGAAACCACUUAUUCCUAUUAAGUGGUGAUUUUGAUUUUAUAUUUUUUUAAAUUUUUUUUUCAUAUAUAUUCAUGUACGUGUAUAUAAUAACUAAUAUUACUAAUUACUAAUUAAAAAAAAAAUCAACAGACCCACAUAUAUAUCCACUAAAAGUUAGUUAUCUCUAUUUUAAAAAAGUUAAAUCCUAAAUAUACUAUUCUUUAAUUACUUGAUUUACCUUUAAUUUACUUACUCCAUCGAUCAUUAACAAAUUAUUGCCCAAUGUAAUUUGAAAGCCAAUAAAAAAAAAAAAAAGCCAAAAGCGUCUUCCUCAAACACGUCCACUACCGAUAGAACAAUACUGCACCACCCGCCUGAAAUUGCGCCAAAAUUCAAUCGCCGGAAACUGUCGCUUUACCUCGCCGGCCAAUUCGUCUGCCAGUGGAGUCAGGUUUGUCGUCCAAUUACGUCUUCGCCGGUCUCUCAAUUUCGUCUGCCAGUGGAGUCUUGUUCGAUUACCACCACCACGCCGCAGCAACGCCACCACGCCCCAGCAACGCCACCACGCCAUAGUGACGUAAUUCGUCCGCCAGUAUCCAGCGGAUUCAUAAGAUUCAGCCACACAUUUCGAAUGGACAUUAAGAAAAUAAAAAAGAAUCCGACAAUCAAGUCGAAAAAACCUGAGUGUCCUCGUCAACACCAAGAAUCUCAUGACUGUGGUUAUUAUGUGUGCCGAUAUAUGCUCGAGACUGUAGAGAAAAGGCGACAAGCAAUUCCUGAUAAGGUAUCAUUCUUAAGAACACUAACAUUAUAUUUAUGAAUGUAUUUGUUAUGUGUCGAUAAAUUGUUUUGUUAUAGCAUAUUCAGCUUGUAUGUUUAUCUAUUUAAUAUUUUAUAUUUUGCAGU